rnacentral:rRNA from 1 species
UACGAAGGGUGCAAGCGUUAAUCGGAAUUACUGGGCGUAAAGCGCGCGCAGGCGGUUCUUCAAGUCAGUUGUGAAAGCCCGGAGCUCAACUCCGGAACUGCCAUUGAAACUGUUGAACUUGAGUACGAGAGAGGUGAGUGGAAUUCCCAGUGUAGAGGUGAAAUUCGUAGAGAUUGGGAAGAACACCGGUGGCGAAGGCGGCUCACUGGCUCGUAACUGACGCUCAGGCGCGAUAGCGUGGGGAUCAAACAGG